rnacentral:rRNA from 41 species
GUGGUCCCACCUGACCCCAUGCCGAACUCAGAAGUGAAACGCCGUAGCGCCGAUGGUAGUGUGGGGUCUCCCCAUGCGAGAGUAGGGAACUGCCAGGC